CUCAUCACCAGGCAGAGGUAUGGGAAGAGGACGAGUCCAGAAGCUCCUUUGGCCCACGUGGUGGUGAGGGAGCAAAGUGUUGCGUCACCCCGCGGUGAAAAGUGUGUCCCUCGACCCCGCUGCUUUUGGGACGAAAGGAGUGUCGCUGACCUGCGUCCU